CGAACCUGGGUCACCGGAUUACGAGACCACUGCUUUACCGACUGAGCUAUCGUGCCUCCUGUGACCUUUGAUGAUAUUUGUACUGCAAUUGAAUAUCUUCAUUUACGUUCUUUGCCUCAAGUAGAUGCAUGUACUUCAGUUGCUGCUGCCUAUUCAUACGUCUAUACGUCCAUACUCAUCAUCAUUUUCAUCUCCUUCUGUAUUUCAUACAUUUUUAGAUAGAGUUUUUGAAUUCAAACUGCCAAACUGCACCAGCAACUUUUGUGAAAACUGGGUUAGCUGCACAAACCCGCCCUAUUAUCUCCCUCCUUAUCACUUUCAUCCUUUACACUAUAGGUAUUUAAGUAGAGUUUGUGAGAUCAAGCUGCCAGACUGCACCAGCAACUUUCAUGUAUGUGAAAACUGGGCCGGCUGCACAAGCUUGUCCUACAACCAUAGUCAUCAUCACUUUUAUCCUUUACUUGGGUAGAGUUUGUGAAACCAAACUGCCAGACUGCCCCGGAAUCCUCUGUGAAGAUUGGACUAGCAGCACAGACUUAUUUAUCAUUAUAUACCUUUUCCCUGCUUCAUGUGUAUUCAGGUAGAGUUUGUGAAACCAAACUGCCAGACUGCCCCGGAAUCCUCUGUGAAGAUUGGACUAGCAGCACAGACUUAUUUAUCAUUAUAUACCUUUUCCCUGCUUCAUGUGUAUUCAGGUAGAGUUUGUGAAACCAAACUGCCAGACUGCCCCGGAAUCCUCUGUGAAGAUUGGACUAGCAGCACAGACUUAUUUAUCAUUAUAUACCUUUUCCCUGCUUCAUGUGUAUUCAGGUAGAGUUUGUGAAACCAAACUGCCAGACUGCCCCGGAAUCCUCUGUGAAGAUUGGACUAGCAGCACAGACUUAUUUAUCAUUAUAUACCUUUUCCCUGCUUCAUGUGUAUUCAGGUAGAGUUUGUGAAACCAAACUGCCAGACUGCCCCGGAAUCCUCUGUGAAGAUUGGACUAGCAGCACAGACUUAUUUAUCAUUAUAUACCUUUUCCCUGCUUCAUGUGUAUUCAGGUAGAGUUUGUGAAACCAAUCUGCCCGACUGCCCCGGAAUCCUCUGUGAAGAUUGGACUAGCAGCACAGACUUAUUUAUCAUUAUAUACCUUUUCCCUGCUUCAUGUGUAUUCAGGUAGAGUUUGUGAAACCAAACUGCCAGACUGCCCCGGAAUCCUCUGUGAAGAUUGGACUAGCAGCACAGACUUAUUUAUCAUUAUAUACCUUUUCCCUGCUUCAUGUGUAUUCAGGUAGAGUUUGUGAAACCAAUCUGCCCGACUGCCCCGGAAUCCUCUGUGAAGAUUGGACUAGCAGCACAGACUUAUUUAUCAUUAUAUACCUUUUCCCUGCUUCAUGUGUAUUCAGGUAGAGUUUGUGAAACCAAACUGCCAGACUGCCCCGGAAUCCUCUGUGAAGAUUGGACUAGCAGCACAGACUUAUUUAUCAUUAUAUACCUUUUCCCUGCUUCAUGUGUAUUCAGGUAGAGUUUGUGAAACCAAUCUGCCCGACUGCCCCGGAAUCCUCUGUGAAGAUUGGACUAGCAGCACAGACUUAUUUAUCAUUAUAUACCUUUUCCCUGCUUCAUGUGUAUUCAGGUAGAGUUUGUGAAACCAAACUGCCAGACUGCCCCGGAAUCCUCUGUGAAGAUUGGACUAGCAGCACAGACUUAUUUAUCAUUAUAUACCUUUUCCCUGCUUCAUGUGUAUUCAGGUAGAGUUUGUGAAACCAAUCUGCCCGACUGCCCCGGAAUCCUCUGUGAAGAUUGGACUAGCAGCACAGACUUAUUUAUCAUUAUAUACCUUUUCCCUGCUUCAUGUGUAUUCAGGUAGAGUUUGUGAAACCAAACUGCCAGACUGCCCCGGAAUCCUCUGUGAAGAUUGGACUAGCAGCACAGACUUAUUUAUCAUUAUAUACCUUUUCCCUGCUUCAUGUGUAUUCAGGUAGAGUUUGUGAAACCAAUCUGCCCGACUGCCCCGGAAUCCUCUGUGAAGAUUGGACUAGCAGCACAGACUUAUUUAUCAUUAUAUACCUUUUCCCUGCUUCAUGUGUAUUCAGGUAGAGUUUGUGAAACCAAACUGCCAGACUGCCCCGGAAUCCUCUGUGAAGAUUGGACUAGCAGCACAGACUUAUUUAUCAUUAUAUACCUUUUCCCUGCUUCAUGUGUAUUCAGGUAGAGUUUGUGAAACCAAUCUGCCCGACUGCCCCGGAAUCCUCUGUGAAGAUUGGACUAGCAGCACAGACUUAUUUAUCAUUAUAUACCUUUUCCCUGCUUCAUGUGUAUUCAGGUAGAGUUUGUGAAACCAAUCUGCCCGACUGCACCGGAAUCCUCUGUGAAAAUGGGGCUAGCAGCACAGACUUAUUUAUCAUUAUAUACCUUUUCCCUGCUUCAUGUGUAUUCAGGUAGAGUUUGUGAAACCAAUCUGCCCGACUGCACCGGAAUCCUCUGUGAAAAUGGGGCUAGCAGCACAGACUUAUUUAUCAUUAUAUACCUUUUCCCUGCUUCAUGUGUAUUCAGGUAGAGUUUGUGAAACCAAUCUGCCCGACUGCACCGGAAUCCUCUGUGAAGAUUGGACUAGCAGCACAGACUUAUUUAUCAUUAUAUACCUUUUCCCUGCUUCAUGUGUAUUCAGGUAGAGUUUGUGAAACCAAUCUGCCCGACUGCACCGGAAUCCUCUGUGAAGAUUGGACUAGCAGCACAGACUUAUUUAUCAUUAUAUACCUUUUCCCUGCUUCAUGUGUAUUCAGGUAGAGUUUGUGAAACCAAUCUGCCCGACUGCACCGGAAUCCUCUGUGAAGAUUGGACUAGCAGCACAGACUUAUUUAUCAUUAUAUACCUUUUCCCUGCUUCAUGUGUAUUCAGGUAGAGUUUGUGAAACCAAACUGCCAGACUGCCCCGGAAUCCUCCGUGAAAAUGGGGCUAGCAGCACAGACUUAUUUAUCAUUAUAUACCUUUUCCCUGCUUCAUGUGUACUCAGGUAAAGUUUGUGAGACCAAACUGCCAGACUGCCCCGGAAUCCUCCGUGAAAAUGGGGCUAGCAGCACAGACUUAUUUAUCAUUAUAUACCUUUUCCCUGCUUCAUGUGUAUUCAGGUAGAGUUUGUGAAACCAAUCUACCAGACUGCCCCGGAAUCCUCCGUGAAAAUGGGGCUAGCAGCACAGACUUAUUUAUCAUUAUAUACCUUUUCCCUGCUUCAUGUGUAUUCAGGUAAAGUUUGUGAGACCAAACUGCCAGACUGCCCCAGAAUCCUCUGUGAAGAUUGGGCUAGCAGCACAGACUUAUUUAUCAUUAUAUACCUUUUCCCUGCUUCAUGUGUAUUCAGGUAGAGUUUGUGAAACCAAUCUGCCCGACUGCACCGGAAUCCUCUGUGAAGAUUGGACUAGCAGCACAGACUUAUUUAUCAUUAUAUACCUUUUCCCUGCUUCAUGUGUAUUCAGGUAGAGUUUGUGAAACCAAUCUGCCCGACUGCACCGGAAUCCUCUGUGAAGAUUGGACUAGCAGCACAGACUUAUUUAUCAUUAUAUACCUUUUCCCUGCUUCAUGUGUAUUCAGGUAGAGUUUGUGAAACCAAUCUGCCCGACUGCACCGGAAUCCUCUGUGAAGAUUGGACUAGCAGCACAGACUUAUUUAUCAUUAUUUACCUUUUCCCUGCUUCAUGUGUAUUCAGGUAGAGUUUGUGAAACCAAUCUGCCCGACUGCACCGGAAUCCUCUGUGAAGAUUGGACUAGCAGCACAGACUUAUUUAUCAUUAUAUACCUUUUCCCUGCUUCAUGUGUACUUCGGGUAAAGUUUGUGAGACCAAACUACCAGACUGCCCCAGAAUCCUCUGUGAAGAUUGGGCUAGCAGCACAGACUUAUUUAUCAUUAUAUACCUUUUCCCUGCUUCAUGUGUACUCAGGUAAAGUUUGUGAGACCAAACUGCCCGACUGCCCCGGAAUCCACUGUGAAAAUGGGGCUAGCAUCACAAACUUAUUUUUCAUUAGCACUACCCCCACUUUAGAUGUAUUCAGGUAGGGUUUGUGAGACCAAUCUGCCCAACUGCGCCAGCAACCUAUUUGAAACAGGAUCAACUUCACAAACUUAUUUAUCAUUAGUACUACCCCUACUUCAUAUGUAUUCAGGAAGGGUUUGUGAAACCAAACUGCCAGACUGCCCCAGAAUCCACUGUGAAAAUGGGGCUAGCAUCACAAACUUAUUUUUCAUUAGUUCUACCCCUACAGUGUACUUCAGACGUAUUCAGGUAGAGUUUGCGAGACCAAUCUGCCAGCAACCUAUUUGAAACAGGAUCAACUUCACAAACUUAUUCAUCAUUAGUUCUAUCCCUACUUAGGAAGUAUUCAGGUAGAGUUUGUGAAAAUAUAAACUGCCAGACUAUGCCAGUAGCCCGUGUCAAAACGGGGCCGCCUGCACAGACCUGCCUUACGACUAUGAGUGCACCUGCUAUAGCGGGAUAUACUGACAAGAUCUGCCAAACCAACAUCGAUGAAUGCGUCGAUAACCAGUGCGUCAAUGGUGCAACCUGCUUGGAUCUUGUCAAUGGCUACGAUUGUAACUGUGAAGGUACAGGUAAAGUAUGCAGCAUUUCUUUCAGGGACUUGAACAAUUUAAUAUAUAAUUCAGAUUUUUACACCUUUUUUUUGUGUGUGUGUUCUUUCAAUUCGUCACUCGUCAAAUUUAAAUAACUAAAAUUUGUUAAUGAACAUCAUGAAGCAAUUUAAACAUGACUGGAUUAAAGGAAGAGUGCUAAAAACAAGUAUCCAAAAAUGAAUGAAUUCACAUAUGGAGAUGGUAUAAUCAGUUAAACCAAUGGUACAGAGCGGGGGGUGGGGAUCUGGACAUUAAACCAGUGUUUUCUAAUUUUCCUUUUUUUCUCUUUUAUAUUUGAUCACAGAUGCAGUUUGUAUUUUUUUUUUCUUAUUUAUUGUCAAAUAUUAGUAUGACGAGGAGAAGAAACUGGUUCAGAUUUGCCAAGAGGAAAAGGGAGAGUUCCUGAAACAGCAAAUAUUUACUGGACAGAAGUCGUGGAUAGAUAUCCCGAGAAAGUUCAUAAUUAUACGAAAUAUAUCUUCUUGUUAUUCCCUUUCUACAUGUAUUACGUUCUCAUUUUCUUCUACAUUUUCCUAAUUCACUAGCCUCUUCCAAUCUCACAAUCUGUAGUAAAUCUCCUCCUUAUUCUCUCUUCCAUUUCUUUUUCUCCACUUUCUUCACAUUUUCUUGCUUUAUUCCUAAAACAAAACUCUCUCAGAAAAAAAUGUGUGAUACACCUCCUUUGGAAAUAAAAUAAAAUAAAUUAACAAAGAG
rnacentral:lncRNA from 1 species